GAGUUUGAUCAUGGCUCAGAGCGAACGCUGGCGGCAGGCCUAACACAUGCAAAGUCGAACGAUCUCUUCGGAGAUAGUGGCGGACGGGUUAGUAACGCGUGGGAAUAUGCCCCUGGGUAAGGAACAACAGCUGGAAACGGCUGCUAAUACCUUAUGAUGUCUUCGGACCAAAGAUUUAUCGCCCAGGGAUUAGCCCGCGUUGGAUUAGGUAGUUGGAGGGGUAACGGCCCACCAAGCCUACGAUCCAUAGCUGGUUUGAGAGGAUGAUCAGCAACACUGGGACUGAGACACGGCCCAGACUCCUACGGGAGGCAGCAGUGGGGAAUCUUAGACAAUGGGGGAAACCCUGAUCUAGCCAUGCCGCGUGAUUGAUGAAGGCCUUAGGGUUGUAAAGAUCUUUC
rnacentral:rRNA from 1 species